GACGAACGCUGGCGGCGUGCUUAACACAUGCAAGUCGAACGGAAAGGCCCCCAUCUUGGUGGGGGUGCUCGAGUGGCGAACGGGUGAGUAACACGUGGGUGAUCUGCCCUGUACUUCGGGAUAAGCUUGGGAAACUGGGUCUAAUACCGGAUAGGACCAUGGUUUAGUGUCUCAUGGUGGAAAGAUUAUUGUUUUGGUGCAGGAUGAGCUCGCGGCCUAUCAGCUUGUUGGUGGGGUAAUGGCCUACCAAGGCGUCGACGGGUAGCCGGCCUGAGAGGGUGGACGGCCACAUUGGGACUGAGAUACGGCCCAGACUCCUACGGGAGGCAGCAGUGGGGAAUAGUGCACAAUGGGCGCAAGCCUGAUGCAGCGACGCCGCGUGGGGGAUGACGGCCGUCGGGUUGUAAACUCCUUUCGUUAGGGACGAAGCCGCACUUUUUUUGGGUGUGGUGACGGUACCUUUGUUAAGAAGCACCGGCUAACUACGUG
rnacentral:rRNA from 1 species